GCCUUUAUAUCUCAGUGGUAGAGAGCUGCACUCGUAAUGCAGAGGUCCGCGGUUCAAUCCCGCGUGAAGGCA
rnacentral:tRNA from 1 species